UAUGAUACGCGUGAAUCAUCGAAUCUUUGAACGCACCUUGCACUUUUGGAGUAAAAAAACUAUUCAAAAGUAUACCUGUUUGAGUAUCAUAAACAUUUAUCCAAGCAAUUGGGAUUUGAGGCUCAGCUAUCUUUUGGUGGCUGUCCCUUUAAAUGUAGAGAGGAUGUUGGGGGCGGACGCCGCUUGUUCCCAGUGAGGAUGUUUACAUUCGUGUAAAAUAAUCGCGAGGGCGGGCAGCGGACACCCGGGAAGCAUCCUGAGCGCCGCGCAAGCGGAGCACGUAGUACAAAUGUGAUCUCAAAUCAGGCAAGACUACCCGCCGAACUUAAGCAUAUCAAUAAGCGGAGG
rnacentral:rRNA from 1 species